ensembl:Mt_tRNA
GUUUCUAUAGUUGAAUAACAACGAUGAUUUUUCAUGUCAUUGGUCAUAGUUGAAGUCUAUGUAGAAAUU